GAUUAACGCUAGCGGCAGGCAUAAUACAUGCAAGUUGAACGAGAUAAGUUUUAGCAAUAGAACUUUGAAAGUGGCGCACGGGUGCGUAACACGUAUGCAACCUACCUUUUACUGGGGAAUAGCCUCUCGAAAGAGAGAUUAAUACCCCAUAAUAUAUUGAUAAGGCAUCUUAUUAAUAUUAAAGUUACGGCGGUAAAGGAUGGGCAUGCGGCUGAUUAGGUAGUUGGUGAGGUAAUGGCUCACCAAGCCGAAGAUCAGUAGGGGGUCUGAGAGGAUGUCCCCACACACUGGUACUGAGACACGGACCAGACUGCUACGGGAGGGAGCAGUAGGUAAUAUUGGACAAUGGGCGCAAGCUUGAUCCAGCCAUGCCGCGUGCAGGAUGAAGGCCCUGUGGGUCGUAAACUGCUUUUGUACGGGAAGAAACCUCACUACGUGUAGUGAGUUGACGGUACCGUGAGAAUAAGGAUCGGCUAACUUCGUGCCAGCAGCCGCGGUAA
rnacentral:rRNA from 1 species